rnacentral:rRNA from 1 species
CACGUAGGGCGCAAGCGUUGUCCGGAAUUAUUGGGCGUAAAGAGCUCGUAGGCGGUCUGUUGCGUCCGCCGUGAAAACUCGGGGCUUAACCCCGAGCCUGCAGUGGAUACGGGCAGACUAGAGGUAGGUAGGGGAGAAUGGGAUUCCCGGUGUAGCGGUGAAAUGCGCAGAUAUCGGGAGGAACACCGGUGGCGAAGGCGGUUCUCUGGGCCUUACCUGACGCUGAGGAGCGAAAGCGUGGGGAGCGAACAGG